AGCACAGGCCAGGUGCAGUGGCUCACGCCUAUAUUUCCAGGACUUUGAGAGGCUGAGGCGGGCGGAUCACCUGAGGGCAAGCACUGUGCUUAGUGACCCAGAGCCUGGAGAAGCUGCAGGUGCUGAACGGGAAGAAGUGGCGGGAGACCUAGCCUGCGGGCCGAAUCUGACGUUGGGUGAUUGGUCCACCCUGAAGCUGUGUGCCAGGGAGUGAGGAGGACAGUGAGCAGGUAGCUGCCAUGUGCAGCCCAGGCCCAGUGGGGGCCAGAGGAUCAGGCCCCGGGAGCAGCCGGCAGACAGAGGCAAGACGGGGGCUGCGGCCCUGGCUCGGCAGCUCGGGCCAGCACUGAGGCGGGACGAGGGCCUCACCCAGAACCUCGUGGUGAGGCCCAGAGUUCAUGGGCUGCCCUGGCCCAUACCAGGCAGGGCCCUGGGGGGAAAGUGUAUCCAUAUACACGCACAGGUGCCAACUGAGGUGGGACCUUAGGAAUGAGGACUGGGGCACCUGGAAAAUGCCAUUUUUUGGAAAAUAAAAUUUAAGAACAGCU
rnacentral:lncRNA from 1 species